AUGCUAAAGCCGCUGAAAUCCGGUCUGAGCCUUGCUCCUUCAUAGCUCUGAGAUUAAAUCUGCAGCUCUCCCCUGGAAAGACACCCUCCUUUUUUUGUUGGCAUCCCGAGUGGCUGGCAGGAGAAGUGGAUCAUGUCACAAGGAUCAGAGCUGGCAGUUAGGAACAGCAUGGGAUAUGACCAGACUAGAAUGUUCUGGAAGUUUCUGUGAGGUGAUGAUGUCAUUGAAGACUGGAAGGGUCAGAUGAAGCCUGUUGGUCAGGGUAAAGUCCCCUCAUACUCUUGCCCUUCCCAGAGACCUGUGCUUCUCCCUCCCACACCUACACCUGCCUCACUAGACAGCAGUAGACCUUAGAGGUCCAGGGGACGACCUUUGAAAGCAGAUCCCAAGGGGAGACUAGGAAGGAGGAGGAGAAAGAGAAGGAAGAGGAAGAGGAUGAGGAGGAAGAGGAAGCCUGAGGUCCUCAGCAGAAAUGCCACUGUCUACUGGCUUGACUCAAAAAACAUGGUCGAAGAGAAAGAUUGUUCGAAUAUAAGGACUGCAGACCUUCAAGUCCGGAAAGAGGGAGCUGUGUGGUGUCCACUCUCAUCAGGAGUGGAAACUUCUACAAGAUGCGACAGUGAGCACGGAUGGGAGCUGGCUGUGCAAAGGCUGUUCCCAGGGCCAGGAGCACAGAAACAGUUCAGAGUCCAGGUAGAUGGGGGUGAUAGACACAUUUAAUCCAGGACUCUGUAGCCAGAGGCAGGAGAGUUCUAGUUUCAGGCCUGCCUGCCCUGUCACAAACAAACAAUAAGAAAAUGAAGAAAGUCUUCACCUUUACACUGGGGAUGAGGACGGGGAACCCCUAAAGGCCAGGAUCUCCCCUCACCCAUCCUGCCUCUCAAGAGUACCACCUGCUGCUGUCACUGGAUCCCAUCCGGAGCAGCCUCCUCUGUGUCUUCCCCACGCUCUCAUGGCUGGGUUGUGGAACAAAAGUGCCAGGAUGCCCCAGGAGGCUGGGGGUUCCAUGUCUGCGGCUGGGGGUGCAAUUGAUGUGUCAGACCCAGAAGCCCACGCAGAGGCCCUGUGAACCUGUGCCUUUGGAAUUCCCAUCCCCACAAAAAUCAUCUGGUGCAGCUCCGUGGAUCCGCUCUGAGGGCUGACAGACCCUCCCCACCAGAUGCAUCCACUGUUCUGUGGAGAGAAAAAGAGGCACAUUAAGGAAAGAAAUAAAGACGAUAAAUCGCCA